CUCGUAUUAAAAGGACAGAGAUUCUUGCAGAACGGUACUUGUGUCUGAAGCUUCCCAGCGGAGGAAACCAUACAAAUCAUUCUUCAAGAUGAAAGGUUUCACUUUGGCUCUCUUGACUGCGGUGUUGGUGGGCGUGGCAUUUGCACAGCAAUGCAGCAACUUCUGGUGUGAAGACAAAAAUGAUCGUUUAUUGUGUUGUGAGGAACGCCCAUCCUGUCCUUCACAAGGAAGGUGCCCCAAUUCCAAGACCUCUUCAAACAGCGGUUCCGGUCCAUUUAAAUGCGAAGAUGACAGCGAUUGUGAGACAGGAUUCAUUUGCUGCCACGACAAGUGCCUUAGACACAAAGUCUGCAAAAUUGCUGAAGUUGGAAGCUCUUAGGAUACAGCACUGAUCAAGACAGAUGUUCAACAUGAUUUUCAAAACAGGCUUUGUUUUUAACUGAUAACGUUACUGCUUAGUACCUUUUAAUACUAGAGCCACUUUUGAACCAUUGUACUGUAUUCCUGUUAGAGAAAAAGUAAAUAAAAAAAUGUGAUGAA